UACUCCUACGGGAGGCAGCAGUGGGGAAUAUUGGACAAUGGGCGCAAGCCUGAUCCAGCAAUGCCGCGUGUGUGAAGAAGGCCUGCGGGUUGUAAAGCACUUUAAGCAGGAAAGAAGGGCGGGGUGAUAAUACCACUUCGCAUUGACGUUACCUGCAGAAUAAGCACCGGCUAACUCCGUGCCAGCAGCCGCGGUAAUA
rnacentral:rRNA from 1 species